rnacentral:lncRNA from 1 species
UGGAAUCCCAGUCCCUUGCAAUCUUUCCUUCAAUAGGUUUCAAAUUCAAUUUUACGAUCUCCUUGUUAAAAAGAAUAAAGUCUUGAAUUACAGUUCGAGCUAUUUAUAAGCUAUAGCUAGGAAGGUUUCAGAGAAAGGGCAAAGGCAAAGUUAAAGAUGAGCACAAAGCUACCCCUUGUUGAGGGUCAUCAACCUCCAGCAAGUUCGGUAUUCUUUUGUAUCAGGAUUUUGUUCUUUAACUCUGUUAAGAAUUCUUGUGAAUUCAUAGAGCGAAAGUCUCUUAAAGUGCUUAAACAGACUAAACCGUACGAAAUUGAAGAGCUUGUGUGCGAUUGGACUUGAUCCCAUGACUAGCUCAAGUGGUAGUAAUUCUCCCCACAAAUGACUUAUGGGUCAUGAGGAUCAAGUCUGAGCAUGCACAAACUCUUUAGUUUCAGACAAUUUUUUCUAUUCAAGUACUCUAAGAUGCUUUAUCUCUGUGAAUCCACUAAAGCUCUUCGUAGAGUUGGAGACUGAACUCCAAUACGAAAACAAUACUAAACUUGUUGAUAGAAUGUAACCCGCCCACGCCUUUGGGAAGAAGACAAUAUUUCUCUAACUUGUCUUUGCCCUUUAUCUGAUAUACUUUCUAAUUUAACUUUCCAACAUUGAAGAAAGACAUGUCGGACAUUCAAUAUUGUUGUAGAGAAUGGCAUAGGCAGGUUAAAGAAAAAAUUUAUGAAAUUACCAGCAGAUGUAUAUUUUUUCUUUAAUUUGCCUUUGCCAUUCUCUGGAUGUACUAUUUUUUCUCUCAAACCAAAGAAUCAAAGGUGUUCAGGGUUCGAUGUUAACUGACCUUUCUUGCAGGAAAAGGUUAAGCACAUAUAAAAUAUAUAUUUGAUAUUUUUAGCUCAAUUAAUCUCCAGUGCUUAUUGUUGUAUACAGUUGCCUAAACUAAUUUGUUUGAAUAAGUCUCUUUUGUUCAUGGGCAAAAGCCUUCAACAUCUUUGCUUGAAUUAGUAAAAAAAUAAAAUAAAAUUGUGCUUUCCCUUUUUCUCUAUUAAAAAGACAAAACAGCUUUAAACCCUAGGUUUUAAGGACAACGGCAGUAACUCGGCGACCUUCCCCUCCCCCUCCACUCUCCUCCUUUCCUCUUCCAUCCUCUUUCUCCUCUUUGGCCUUGGGUCUCCUCAUCCGCUCAUCAGUCGUCGUUUUCCCGUAGUGGGACGGUCAUCCGGCCUUUGCCCUCUCCCAUCUCCGUCUCCGUCUCCUUUUUCUUUGUUCUUGUUUCUUUUUUCAAAUCCUGGUUAAUAAUGUUACGGGCAAUGCGUUGUAUGUACUGGAGCCAUUAUGGUUUUACUUCAUUGAUUGUAACUUGGAUAUCAAUUUGCUAGGCCAUAAUAAAAGUUUUUAUGUUGAAAAAAA